CAUGCAAGUCGAACGAAGUAGCAAUACUUAGUGGCAGACGGGUGAGUAACAUGUAGGUAUCUUCCCUUUGGUGAGGAAUAACACGAGGAAACUUGUGCUAAUACCUCAUAAGUCUUCACGGAGAAAGCUUUAUGCGCCGAAGGAUGAGCCUGCACUUGAUUAGUUUGUUGGUGGGGUAAUGGCCUACCAAGACUUUGAUCUAUAGCUGAUCUGAGAGGAUGAUCAGCCACAUUGGGACUGAGACACGGCCCAAACUCCUACGGGAGGCAGCAGUAGGGAAUAUUGCACAAUGGAGGAAACUCUGAUGCAGCGAUGCCGCGUGAGUGAAGAGGGCCUUUGGGUUGUAAAGCUCUUUCGUCGGGGAAGAAAAUGACUGUACCCGAAUAAGAAGGUCCGGCUAACUUCGUGCCAGCAGCCGCGGUAACACGAAGGGACCUAGCGUAGUUCGGAAUUACUGGGCUUAAAGAGUUCGUAGGUGGUUAAAAAAGUUGGUGGUGAAAUCCCAGAGCUUAACUCUGGAACUGCCAUCAAAACUUUUUAGCUAGAGUAUGAUAGAGGAAAGCAGAAUUUCUAGUGUAGAGGUGAAAUUCCGUAGAUAUUA
rnacentral:rRNA from 1 species